rnacentral:lncRNA from 1 species
GUCACAGUGGUUCAGUUGCACCGGAAGCACACAACCACUCUAUUAGCAAAGAGUUACUUCAGAGUAAGGAUGGGAUUGGGCCCAAUAACUAUUAGGUGAAGGACCCAAUGACGGUCUUGCAGCUACUUAUGAAUGGUGGGUUGAGCUUAACUAAGGAGUGUGGCCAAUAACUGUUAGGUGAGCCCAUAUUAUGACUUAGAGACCAAGUUGCUGCAAUAUGCUUAGAGAAGU